ensembl:lncRNA
CCCUUGAUCUGUAUUGCCCACGAGUUUUCCAGAAGGUUCCAGCGAUUGGUGGUACCUGAGAUUGCCGGUUUCACCAUUUCUUUGCCAGUCUAAGUUGUUGUUUUUUCCCUUUUGGGUAUUAGAAAAAAGCAAAGUAUCAUAUCACUGUGUUAGGUUGUAUAUUUUUCACUAGUCAGCAGAAGGUCAUGUGACAAUAGGAGCAGAGACGGGUGACGCAGCUGCUAAUCAAGGAUUGAGACCACCACCAGACGCUAAGAGAAGGGCAGGGAAGGAUGUGACCCACAGGCUCAGAGGGAGUAUAGCCCCACUGAUACCCUGAUUUCACACUUCUGGCCUCCAGAAUGAUUUGGUGGCCACUCUAUAUGUGCUGCUGCUGCUGCUGCUAAGUCGCCUCAGUCGUGUCCGACUCUGUGCGACCCCAGAGACAGCAGCCCACUAGGCUCCUCUGUUCCUGGGAUUCUCCAGGCAAGAACACUGGAGUGGGUUGCCAUUUCCUUCUCCAAUGCAUGAAAGUGAAAAGUGAAUGUGAAGUCGCUCAGUCGUGUCCAACUCUUAGCGACCCCAUGGACUGCGGCCUACCAGGUUCCUCUGCUAGAUGUUUUUAAAUACGUUAUCUUCUUAAAUCUUUCCUGUUGUCCUGUAAGGUUUGCCUUGAAAAUGAAAGUCACUCGGUCAUGUGCGACUCUUUGUGACCCCAUGGACUUAGUCCAUGGAAUUCACCAGGCCAGAAUGCUGGAGUGAGUAAGCCUUUCCCCUUCUCCGGGGGACCUUCUCAACCCAGGGAUCGAAUCCAGGUCUCCCACAUUGCAGGCGGAUUCUUUACCAGCUGAUCCACAAAGGAAACCCACGAAUACUGGAGUGGGUAGCCUAUCCCUUGGCCAGGGGAUCUUCCCUACCCAGGAAUCGAACUGGGGUCUCCUGCGUUGCAGGCGGAUUCUUUACCAACUGAGCUAUGAGGGAAGCCCUAGGUUUGCUUUAGAAGCUCCAUUUCACUAAAAAGAAAACAAAGAAUCAGAGAGGUUAAGUUACCUCUCCGAGGUCACACAGCUUGUAAGGGCCAGGGUCAAGAUUCCAGUCUCCUCGGCUCAGGUAUUUCUACUCCAUCUCAGGCCGUCACCUCCGGAGUGUCUUUCUCAGUCCCCAGAGGCACCCUGUGACCCACUGAGAGUGGAAAAUUUCAGCCCUGUUCCAGAGGGCAGGCUCCUCCCUGGCCCCGACGCUGCCGCCUACCCGGCUGAUUUAUAGAGAAGGUGGGGAGCAUUCCCCAUAUUCCAAUCCCACCCCGACCAGGGAUUCCUAAAGUGGAGAGAC